UAGAAAAAGGCGCCAUGCACCGUGUUUGUGUAACCGCCGCGAUAUGUGAGGGAAGAAACAAACAAGAAGAGGAUAACGGAGUGAGACGUUUGGAUGAUUACAUGAGUCAUUAUGUGCUGCAGACGACGUAUCAAGAUCAGUACAGUUUUGUUUCUGGAGAUACAAUGUGGAGACCAGACAGACCAGUACUGAAGAGGUAACAAACCAAAGGAUGAGGACAGUAGUUUUUCUGUGCCAGCCGUGAUACAUACAGAAACAUCCUUUGUGAAGAUGUGUUAGAGAAGCUUACAAGGCAAGAUUUAGUUUUUUAUAUAUGAAAAAUAGGGAUAUUUAUAUAUUUUUUGUAAUUGGUAGAGUUAUGUUUUAUUCCCUGUAACAGUAGGAAUAAUGCAUUUUGUAAAAAUCUAAUCUAUUUUUAAAGCCCAGUGUCAAUGAAGAUGACGUGUUCAGUGGUGGUCAGAUGUGGUCAAAAGUUUACACACACAUUGCAGAAUAUACUGCUUCAUCAGAGUAGUAAUUGUAUUUUUUUAAGUUAUUCUACCUCUCUACUCUCUUACUGCUUAAAUUAUUAACAUUUUGCUGAUAAUGCAAGGUGUAUAUAAACUUUAGACUGCAACUGUGUCUAUUGCUUUCACUCAACUGAACCAUUUAUAA